GGGGCCGUAGCACAGAGAUAGUGCGCCGCGACAUCAUCUCGGAGGACGUCGGUUCGAAUCCGGCCGCCCCG
rnacentral:tRNA from 1 species